GACGUAGGGGGCAAGCGUUGUCCGGAAUCAUUGGGCGUAAAGCGCGUGUAGGCGGCCAGGUAAGUCCGUUCUGAAAGCCCGGGGCUCAACCCCGGGAGGCGGAUGGAUACUGCUUGGCUCGAGUCCGGAAGAGGCGAGUGGAAUUCCCGGUGUAGAGGUGAAAUGCGUAGAUAUCUGGAGGAACACCGGUGGCGAAGGCGGCAUUCUGGACCGAUAUUGACGCUGAGGAGCGAAAGCCAGGGGAGCAAACGGG
rnacentral:rRNA from 1 species